UGCCAUUCCGAGGGGUGUGCCUGAUGGCGCUGAGAUGGCGAAAGCCGAACCCUUGAACCUGAUCCGGGUCAUACCGGCGUAGGAACGGGAAUGGGCGGCGCU
rfam:Aureimonas ureilytica strain NS365 contig_6, whole genome shotgun sequence.